rnacentral:lncRNA from 1 species
UUCAAGUGUUUUUGUUCGCCUGAUUUACAUAAAUCAUCCUUUCAAUGAAUAAAGAACCUCGAAGAAACCCAGACAAAGGAGGCCGAGAACCGUGAACCCUAUCACGUGUGGUCGCGCGCCAAAUUAAAUAAUUCAUUCUACUCGAUCUGCUACCUGCAUCACUGGAUUCGUCACGUGAUGGUCGAUUGGACCAAUGGGAGACGAGAGCGGUACUCCCUCCUUUUUGUCUAUUGUUGCGUAUCGCCCGCCUGCAAGGGGAUCGCGGGCUGUGCACGCUGAGUAGGAAUUCAACCUAGCUGAAGUGAAGAAGGCGAACAUCUCGGCGUGUCAACACCCUUUCCACCAUCUAGGACAUCAUGGCUGACCCGGAAAAGCAGCCCGAACAACCCAAGGCUGUAGGAACUAAGAAGCCUGUCCUCGCCAACAAGGUCACCGGGACUGUCAAGUGGUUCAAUGUCAAAGCGGAUACGGUUUCAUCAACCGGAGUGACACGAAAGAAGAUGUCUUCGUGCACCAAUCUGCUAUUGUCAAGAACAAUCCCCGCAAAGCCGUAAGGAGCGUGGGAGAUGGCGAAACCGUUGAAUUUGACGUCGUUGCCGGUGAGAAGGCAAUGAAGCUGCUAACGUAACUGGACCCGGUGGUGAAGCCGUCAAAGGAUCCCCAUACGCUGCUGACCGCCGCCGUAACUACCGCAGCUGGUUCUAUGGAGGACGAGGACGUGGUCGUGGCGGCUAUGGACCACCAAGAGGAGAUUUUUCAGGUUAUGAGAGCGAGGGCAAAGGUGACGACGGUUCCGGAAACGAAGGAGGUGGCCGACGCUACAGACCACGUCAAAGAUGGGCAGCCUGGCGAAGACCAAGACAGAGCGAUACAGGGUGGAAGAGGAAGAGGAGGUCCUCCACGUAGAUUCUUCCGUCGCAACUUCCGAGGAGGACGCCCUCCAUACCGUCCACGAAGUGAGAACAUGAAUAAUGGUGAUGGAGAAGGGAGACCGAGGCAGCCGUACCGUAAACGAUUCUCCCGUGGACGAGGUGGCACACGAUCAACAUCUGCGAAGGUGGCAAAGCCAGUGACGCGGCUCAAUCUGUUCAGAACACCACCACUGAAAGCAAUGCUUAAAAUCGUACCUUUAAACCCCUUAAAAUAAAACUUUUGAUAGUACUCUUUUGUUUCUUUCUUUUCCCAUCAAAUUAAAAGAUGAGCAUUUAACAAAAGGGACUUAAACUUCAUUUUGUGUGUCUGAUAUGAAAGAUAGUUGACAUUAAUCUUAAAACGAAGGGUUUUCUCUAAGAAAUACCAUCUUCUCUAAUAAUAAAAAACUAAAAUCUUUGCGUGCACAAUUCCUUUUCCGAAACCAACGUAGUGGAUAUCAGUUUGUGACAUCAUCGUAUAUUUUUUUUACAUCGCUUCGGCAUUUGCGUAAAAGGCUCUUUUGUACCUCAAAUUUUUUUCAUCGUACUUUAAUUUUCUAGUCUUUCGAAUCUCUGUAUCAGUUUUACAAUCCCAUCGCGCGACAUCCGUUAUCGAGCAUGUGAUUUUAAUCAUCAAAACAAUUUUUUUUUCCUGCUCCUAUCAAGAAUCGACUAAAGGUUUGAAUCAAAGUUUGUUUUACUUCAACUAGAACGACUUAAUCUGUUUUUAAUCUUUUGGUUUUUUUAAACACAAAUUUGUUUACUUAAUUUAUUCGCAGUAUUGUAUAAGAGAAAUAUUUAUUUACUUAUUUAUUGGCAGUAUUGUAUGAUUUAUGUUCUUUUUUUUACACCUAUACAUAUAUAUAUUUCUACAAAUAUAUAUUUAUAAAAUUUGUAACGACAGUAUUUUUAUGAAAUUAAUGUUAAGACUAGAGAAUGUUUCUGUGUUUACAAGUUGAUCUUGUAACUUGAUUUUUUUAAUAAAGAGCCUUUUUCUGAAUCUCAUCAAUCCAAAGGUGACGCUUUUUCUUAAGUGCUUAGACUUACCAUACCAAUUUUCCCCUGAACUUGAGUCAUAUCUUGGAAAAAGCAGAACAAUUCUGUACCCUCUGGGCAGUUUACUUUGAAGGCAUUCAUGCUCGGUGGAACCAUGUAUACCUUUUUUUUUAUUUAACGCAUUUGCUGAUAAGUUCUUUCCAGCAUAGACAUGUCCAUUUCUAAUCAUGCACAGACUAAAAUAUCUACUCUAUUUCAAGAGCUGAAAUGGACCAAGUUCUGCAGAGACGCACAUAGUUGCAUGAAGUUUGAAGGGAGAUGAGAUGUGAAGUUUUUCAUUUCGGCGCGACUCAAUGUACAGGACAUUGAAGGAUUUCUUUCAUGUUUCAAAUAUUGUUACUCAACUGUCCAGAAUUUCAGACUGAAGAUAAGUUAUGACAUUUCUGAGGCUUGGAGGACAAGGCGCACAAUGGCAGUUUUUGAAAAACUUGAGAUAUUAAUUAUCUCAAGUCAAACUAGUCUUAAUGCAUACUCUGUGAAAAAUUGGCUCCUAUAUUUCAAUUUUAAGCAGCCAAAAGUCAGAAUUUUCUUU